CAGUCGCCGCGGGAAUACGUAGGGUGCAAGCGUUAAUCGGAAUUACUGGGCGUAAAGCGUGCGCAGGCGGUUAUUCAAGACAGAUGUGAAAUCCCCGGGCUCAAUCUGGGAACUGCAUUUGUGACUGGAUGGCUAGAAUCUGGCAGAGGGGGGUAGAAUUCCACGCGUAGCAGUGAAAUGCGUAGAUAUGUGGAGGAACACCGAUGGCGAAGGCAGCCCCCUGGGCUAAGAUUGACGCUCACGCACGAAAGCGUGGGGGGCAAACAGGAUUAGAUACCCCCGUAGUCCCUGUCUCUUAUAC
rnacentral:rRNA from 1 species